AAGCGGGUGAAAAGCCCGCUCGCCGGAAGACCAAGGGUUCCUGUCCAACGUUAAUCGGGGCAGGGUAAGUCGACCCCUAAGGCGAGGCCGAAAGGCGUAGUCGAUGGGAAACGGGUUAAUAUUCCCGUACUUCUUACAAUUGCGAUGGGGGGACGGAGAAGGCUAGGUGGGCCUGGCGACGGUUGUCCAGGUUCAAGUGCGUAGGCUUAAGAGUUAGGUAAAUCCGGCUCUUUUUAAGGCUGAGACACGACGUCGAGCMWCUACGGWKGUGAAGUCAUUGAUGCCAUGCUUCCAGGAAAAGCCUCUAAGCUUCAGAUUGUAAGGAAUCGUACCCCAAACCGACACAGGUGGUCGGGUAGAGAAUACCAAGGCGCUUGAGAGAACUMGGGUGAAGGAACUAGGCAAAAUGGUACCGUAACUUCGGGAGAAGGUACGCUCUCGACGGUGAAGUCCCUCGCGGAUGGAGCUAUUGAGAGUCGCAGAUACCAGG
rnacentral:rRNA from 1 species